rnacentral:misc_RNA from 1 species
UCUAUAUCAAUAAUUGAGUUCAACUGGAUGAAAUUGCAUUUUAUUUGAACCCCCUUGGAAUGGUUAACAAUUACUUUAACUUCGUGUUUCUCACAACUGCUUCGAUUACGCUGUGCCGCUGUGUACAAAUGAUGUGAAGACAAUCAAACCAAAGGCAACAAAGAACAAAUAGCACGAUAAACGAGGCAACAACAAACAGCAAAAACAACGAUUUACCACUAAAUAUACCCGAAAGACGCCGGAAUCACAGUUAUUCGCAGGCUAAGACAUCAAUGCAGAGGUUAACCAUCGUCCACACGCCAGUGCAUAGCAACAAAAAGCAAUACAAUAACAACAACAACGGGCACUGUAGCCGGCAAUGAUAUCGCCAAUGACUUCAAAGCAGAACUGCCGAAAGGAAAGUAAUCGAAGCGCAAAUCCACCGUGAGUCGUUACAACGAAAAUGGGAUUUGAAGACGGCGGAGCGGCAGCUGUUAAUUUCGCUCAGCAAAAGCAAAAUGAAGUUCUUAGCACAUGUGUUGCCUAUUUAAUUGCCGCUUAUCGUUGGGCCUUGCCGGUAAUUUGUGCGCCACAGCGGUGCGAGCGUCGAGUCUUUAGCAAAAUCGAAGCUAAUGAACCGUUACUUACUUUCGGCAAAUCAAGGGAAACUGUAGCUGUCAGCGUUAAUAACGGUAAUCAAAGCGAUAUCAACAACGACUACAACAACAACAACAACAACACCCGUUGUGACUGCAAUAACAACAGUGCGACUAUUUACAAGAUGCGCUCACAGCAACAACGAGAAGAAGAAGAACAACAACAAAAGCAAUAUCGCCGAAAAUCCAAACAAAGCAGAAACCAGAAAUUUCCAUUAAGGACACGUAGUGCCCAUCAACAUCCGCCCAAAAAACAUAAAUACCAACUAGUCUUGAAUAACAGUUAAAGUGUUGUUAUUGACAGCUAAAAGCAACCAACAGAGAAACACAUAACAAAUAGGAUAUCGUAAAUUACAGCAAUAAACAGAUAUAAAACAGAAAAUCAAACAAGCAUCCAGCGGAGGGCGGAUAAGAAGCAAAGCGGGCACUCAAAGAGAGCCUGCAAUUAAACGAGGCAAAAAUUAAGACACAAAAGCGUGGCGAAGAGAACAAAGCAACAGCAAGGCGUAAUUAACACUUGUGCAGAGGAAGUUACGGCAAAAUGCAGCGUCUGCGUACGACUUUCACGCGCUCGCGCACUCCCACCGGCGCCGAGAUGAAGACCCAAAACAGUCUCGAGGUGCCGAAACAGGUGCGUUCCGCUUCGUUUGAUGAAAUGCAAUUAGAGGCACAACGCGUCUCGUCUCACCUGCUGAAGCAGCAGUCCUCGUCAUCGACGGACGAACGUUCGCUGGACACGGGUCUAUUGCAGGUGCCGCAAGCCACGCACACGCAACGCUCACAUUCCUUCGACUCGGCGGCGGCUUCUGCGGGCAGCGAUGACUCGGGCACAUUCUUGGAAGUGCCACGCCGUAACAAGGCGCGUCGGAGUUCGUCGACGAAAACGCCACCACCGUGUGUGCACUGUAUGUACUUGGAGGAGUAUUUGAAGCAGCAGAAGUCAGAGCAGCUUUACAUGGCAGGCGAUCGGCGCGAAUCGAUAUCGCUGUCAUACGGUUACAGCAGUUCUGACGACGAUACAGACAUCGAUGGUGUGAGUGUGACGGCGGACGAUGAAGUGGUGGAGGAGGACGAUGAAGAGGAUGCCGCUACUGGUGAUGGCACUGAAACUGGUGGCGGUUCAUAUGAAUACGAUGAUGCGGCACUAGAGAUGGACAUCCGAUUGGGUGGUUUGAGCACGGGCAGCAGCAUUGAGGAGUCACGUGCACGUUUGCCACGUCAAAUGCGUCGUCAUACCAUUGGCAGCUCAGUGACGACAUCGGAAGAUGAAGGACUGGAAGAAUCCGAACAUGAUUCGCCGCACUUUGGUAAUACGUUGCUGCCACCAUUGCCGACGACACCGUGCGGCAUCACUUUUACACUGUCGCCCACAAAUGGCGAUUGCCCGCCCUUUCCGUAUGCCUUUCCCAUCGAUCCCGGCUCGCCACCACCUUCACCAUCCAUUUCGUUGUCCGUAUGCGACAGUCCGAUGAUGGAAUUGCCACCACCUCCGCCCAUCUCACCACUUGAACUAUUGCCUCAUUCACCCAUCUUUGAUUUGCCAUUGCCGCCACCACCCGGUUUUAGCAGCCGUUUGAGCGCAGCGGAUGCAGAUGAUGCUGCAGCAGUGCCACCCUCACCGACCGCCAUGCGUCCACGUCGGCGCUCUAUCUCACGACAAGAAGCGAUUUUCGUUGAGCCAACAGGCAAUUCACUGGAGAAUGUAUCGCAGGGCGAGGAUGUCAAAUCGUCAGUGGAGGCGGUGGAUUCGGUGGAUGAGGCGUCCACAGUGGCUACUUGUGGCUCGCCGACAGCAGCUAAACAUGCGCUGGUUGUACGUGAUAUUUAUCUAACUGUACCUGAUUUGAAGCGCGACCGUGCCGCCUCGGUGGACUCGUGCUUUUCGAAAAUGUCGUCGGCCGGCAAAACGGAGGAGCUGCAGCCCAGCGAGGAUGGCUGUUUUCUCACCGUGCCGAAUAUAAAUGCGACCCGUUCGCGAUCUGUGGAUAUUGUGCUGCCGACCGACGAACAGGCACGCUACAAGGCUCUCGCCAUGACGGGCGCUUGCCGAGAUGGACGUUCUGCGUCGGCGAGUAAUGCCCGACGGCCGAUUCGGAUUGUGCCCGACUGGACCGAGAACGCGGUACAGGGAGAACACUUCUGGAAGCCCACGUCGGCGUCCGGCGAUCUUUGCUGCUUGAACGAGGAGUGCAUUAAAAGUGGUCAACGCAUGAAGUGCUCUGCUUGCCAAUUAAUUGCGCAUCAAAAUUGCAUUCCAAUCGUCAAUGAAAAGACUCAAUUAGCGUGUAAGCCAACAUUUCGGGACGUGGGCGUAAGACAAUACCGGGAGCAGUCCACGACGCACCAUCACUGGGUGCAUCGCAAAAUGGAGAAGGGCAAGUGCAAGCAGUGCGGUAAGGCUGUCCAGGGUAAACUGUUUGGUUCCAAAGAGAUAGUGGCACUGUCCUGCGCCUGGUGUCACGAGGUCUAUCACAACAAGGAGUCCUGCUUUAAUCAAGCCAAAAUUGGGGAAGAGUGCACCUUGGGCAAUUAUGCGCCAAUUAUCGUGCCACCGUCUUGGAUCGUCAAGUUACCCACUAAAGGUAAUUUUAAAUCCUCCAUACGAGUGAACAACAAGACCAAUGUGACCAUAACCAGCAGUAAGAAGAAGGGGGCGAGUAAACGGCAAAAGCAAAAGGAAGAGAAGAAAGAGCCACGCGCUUUCAUCGUGAAGCCGAUACCAUCGCCCGACGUAAUACCCGUGAUUGUGUUCAUCAAUCCUAAAUCGGGCGGCAAUCAAGGUGUCAAGCUGUUGGGUAAAUUCCAACAUCUUCUGAACCCUCGACAAGUUUUCGAUUUAACGCAAGGCGGUCCAAAGAUGGGUUUGGAGCUAUUCCGUAAAGCGCCUAACUUGCGCGUUUUAGCGUGUGGCGGUGACGGCACCGUAGGUUGGGUAUUAUCUGUGCUGGACAUGUUGAAUCCACCCAUAACACCGCCGCCAGCUGUGGGUGUGCUGCCCUUAGGUACUGGCAAUGAUCUCGCUCGCGCUCUCGGUUGGGGUGGUGGCUACACCGAUGAGCCGGUCAGUAAGAUAUUACGAGAAAUCGGCAUGUCUCAGUGUGUGCUGAUGGAUCGCUGGCGUCUGAAUGUCACGCCCAACCGUGAAGUGGAAGACGAUAAUGUCAGCCGCAGCAAGGACAAUGUCCCGCUAAAUGUGAUCAAUAACUAUUACUCCUUUGGCGUCGAUGCACACAUCGCACUCGAAUUCCACGAGGCGCGCGAAGCGCAUCCAGAGCGCUUCAACUCGCGUCUGCGCAACAAGAUGUACUAUGGUCAAAUGGGUGGCAAAGAUCUGAUCUUGCGACAGUAUCGGAAUCUCUCGCAGUGGGUGACGCUCGAGUGCGACGGCCAGGAUUUCACGGGUAAACUGCGCGACGCCGGCUGUCAUGCAGUGCUCUUCCUAAAUAUUGGCAGCUAUGGCGGCGGUACCCAUCCCUGGAACGAUUCGUUCGGCCAAUCCAAGCCAGCCAUCGAUGACGGCAUGUUAGAGGUGGUCGGUCUGACCACUUACCAGCUGCCCAUGCUGCAGGCCGGCUUGCACGGCACCUGCAUUUGCCAAUGUCGGUCGGCACGCAUCGUCACCAAGAAGACAAUCCCGAUGCAGGUGGACGGCGAGGCGUGCCGCGUGAAGCCAUCAAUUAUCGAAAUGAGUUUGCUGAACAAAGCGGUUAUGCUGGCCAAACGCAAACACGGACGCGGCGAUGUACAAGUGAACCCAUUGGAGAAACUACAUUUAACAAUUUUGCGCAUAACGAUGCAACAAUACGAGCAAUAUCACUACGACAAGGACAUGUUGCGCAAAUUGGCCAAUAAAUUGGGCAAAAUGGAGAUCGAGUCGCAGUGCGAUUUGGAGCAGGUGCGCAACAUGCUCAACGCCAAAUUCGAGGAAUCGAUCACAUACCCGAAGGUGUCGCAGGAUUGGUGCUUCAUCGAUUCCUGCACCGCGGAGCACUACUUCCGCAUCGAUCGCGCUCAAGAGCAUCUGCACUACAUAUGUGAUAUCGCCAUCGACGAGUUGUACAUUCUGGACCACGAAGCCGCCACCAUGCCGCAGACGCCCGACCAGGAGCGCUCCUUCUCCGCCUAUUCACAGCGGAUUGGCGCACAAAAUGAGCGCCGCAAUAUGGAUCAGCAAGGCCGCUCCGGCAGUACCGCUCUAUACUGGAACAAACUUCCGAUGCCGUACUACUAGCGGCACACCAAGGCGACCUGAAUAUGUAUUCAAACAUCGCUACUCCUCACUGUGAUUUGUGACUAACGCAACCCUUGACUCUUGCACCCGACACCCACACAAGCGCCUUCAAAGAAUACGCAUUGUACAUACAUACAUAUAUAUAAUAAUUACGUGCACUACAUGAACAAGGAUACUCACUACAAUCAGUAAACAAGAAUGGACAGACAGCACUUCAUUUCGCCUGCAAAUACAAUCA